UUUUAACAAAUGAUGAUUUCAUAGUUCAACUGAAUUAGAUUUGAAGACAAUUAGAUUUAUGUCUUUCGCUCCUAUCUGACAUUUCAU